rnacentral:lncRNA from 1 species
CUGGGUGCUGGAAAUGGCUUCUCCACGAGAGAAGUAUACAAAAAGAAUUCAAAUAUGGGGCCUGUCGUGUGGACCAUAGCAAGAAGCCACGAUAUUUGAAGUGCGACGGGACCUGUGUGGCUAUAGGCGUGAAGGCAAAGGCCAAAAACCAGUAAGCUGGGCGUGCUGGCGAGAGCGGCUUCACGUGGUCACGUGGAACCAUGGGCUUCAUCCUAGCGGGCAUCGGGCUGGAGAAUAGAUGCGCGACUCCAC